UAAUACAGAGGGCGCGAGCGUUGUCCGGAAUCACUGGGCGUAAAGGGCGCGUAGGUGGCCACCAUAAGGCCGCGGUGAAAGCUUGGGGCUCAACCCCAGGUCGGCCGCGGCGACUGUGGGGCUCGGGCACCGUAGAGGCAGAUGGAAUUCCGGGUGUAGCGGUGGAAUGCGUAGAGAUCCGGAAGAACACCAGUGGCGAAGGCGGUCUGCUGGGCGGUGGGACCGGAAGGUCUCUUAAGCCGACACUGAGGCGCGACAGCGUGGGGAGCAAACAGGAUUAGAUACCCUGGUAGUCCACGCCGUAAACGAUGGGCACUAGGUGCUCUGGGGAGCGACCCCCGGGGUACCGGCGCUAACGCAUGAAGUGCCCCGCCUGGGGAGUACGGCCGCAAGGCUG
rnacentral:rRNA from 1 species